UCUACUCAAAUGAGCGGGAGCGGUGUUAUGCCCAAACCUGAGUCUGUUCAGUGUUGUAAUGAAGUCUCUACUCGCAAUCUUUAGCUGAUAAUACCAGGAUUUUCUAGGAGUAUUUGGGAAAGUUCUGGAUAUUGAUGGCAAAGAAGAUCCUCACCGGUUAUCUCAGGAGCACUAGAUUGAACAGCAUCGGAGACAAGUGAAACAAAGCUGUCUGCACAACUUCGCCCUCGUCUGAAGCCAUAUUGAACAUUUGGCAGUAUGUCAUUGUGUUCAACAAACCAAUCAAGCCGAGUUUUUAUCAUGUUCUCAAAUAUUUUACCUAGACAAGAUGAUAAUGAAAUAGGUCGGUAGGAAUUAGCAUUAUCAGGAGGCUUAUCUGUCUUUAAAAUAGGUAUUACACAUUGAGUUUUCCAAGACUCAGGAAUAAUCUGUUCAAUCCAUAAGUUAUUAAGAAUGUCUAAGAAAAGUUUUUGGACUGACUGAUGAAGUUUUUUAAUUAAAAUAUAAGGAAAACCAUCUAAUCCAGGUGUUGUAUCUUUACGUGAAUUUAAAGAUGCAGAAAAUUCCUGAAAUGAAAACUUUUCUAAGAGAAAUUUCGUAUUUUCAUUAUCAUUAUGAAUAUUAAAAUAUUUUUCUAAGUUAGGGACCUCUAGGCCCUUAUCUGACAAUUUAUCUAAAAAGGAAUUAAUGAAUGUAUCAGAAUAUGACUUAUUAUUAAUCUUUCUACUGUGUUUAAACAUUUUAAUUUGAUUCCAAAUUUUGCUAAUGGGAGUUGUCCUAUUGAAACUAUUACAUAAAUUAUUCCAUCCAUUUUUCCUUUCCUCA